rnacentral:rRNA from 1 species
GUCUUAUUGAAAUUAAUUUUAAGUCAAAUCUGCCCAAUGAAUAAAUUUUAAUGGCUGCAAAAUUAAUAAUUGUACAAAGGUAGCAUAAUAAUUUGUUUUUUAAUUAAAAACUAGAAUGAAAGAUUUAAUGAGAUAUAAACUAAUAUCAAAUAAAAUUUUUAUUAAAAUUAUUAUAUAAGUAAAAAAACUUAUAUAUUAAUAAAAGACGACAAGACCCUAUAGAAUUUUAUUUAUAUCAAAUUAAUUUUUUAUAAUUUUUUUUAAAUUUAAAAUUAAUUUAAAUAAAUUUAAUUGGGACAAUUAAAAAAUUAAAAAAAUUUUUUUAUAAAAAAACAUUAAUUAAUGAUUUUUAAAACUUAAAAUUUAAAUAAAUAAAAUUAAUUACCUUAGGGAUAACAGCAUAAUUUUUUUUGAAAGAUCAAAUUUAUAAAAAAGAUUAU